UACGGAGGAGGCAAGCGUUAUCCGGAAUUAUUGGGCGUAAAGCGUCCGUAGGUGGCUAGUCAAGUCUGCGGUCAAAGACUGGGGCUUAACCCUGGAAAGGCCGUGGAAACUGACGAGCUAGAGUGCAGUAGGGGUAGAGGGAAUUCCCGGUGUAGCGGUGAAAUGCGUAGAGCUCGGGAAGAACAUCGGUGGCGAAAGCGAUCUACUGGACUGCAACUGACACUCAGGGACGAAAGCUAGGGGAGCGAAUGGG
rnacentral:rRNA from 1 species